CCUACGGGGGGCUGCAGUGGGGAAUAUUGGGCAAUGGGCGAAAGCCUGACCCAGCAACGCCGCGUGAAGGAAGAAGGCUUUCGGGUUGUAAACUUCUUUUAUCAGGGACGAAGCAAGUGACGGUACCUGAUGAAUAAGCCACGGCUAACUACGUGCCAGCCGCCGCGUCAAUACGUAGGUGGCAAGCUGUAUCCGGAUUUACUGGGUGUAAAGGGCGUGUAGGCGGGAGUGCAAGUCAGAUGUGAAAACUAUGGGCUCAACCCAUAGCCUGCAUUUGAAACUGUACUUCUUGAGUGCUGGAGAGGUAAGCGGAAUUCGGGGUGUAGCGGUGAAAUGCGUAGAUAUAAGGAGGAACACCAGUGGCGAAGGCGGAUUGCUGGACAGUAACUGACGCUGAGGCGCGAAAGCGUGGGGAGCAAACAGGAUUAGAUACCCGAGUAGUC
rnacentral:rRNA from 1 species